ACACAACCAAUAUUUGGAUUUGUCUCUUUUGAUGACUUGCUACGCUGUAAGCCCAAACUUCGCGGAGGCUGAAAUGCCUUCUUUAAAGAUGGAGAAAUGAUGGAACAGAUCGGUGUCAGUGGUGGAGGGGCAGGUAUUUAUACACAUUGAUGAGAUCACCCUUGAGCCUUCUCCCAGCUGAACAGCCCCAGGUCUCUCAGUCUUUUCUCAUAAAAGAGAUACUCCAGUCCCAUCAUCAUCUUCAUGGCCUGCAAUUGGAUUCUCUCCAGUGUGACCAUAUCUUUCAUGUAUCAGGGAACCCUGAACUGGACCCAGCACUCCAGGUGUAGCCUCAUUAGUUUUAAGUAAAAGAGAGGAUCACAUCCCUUGGCCAGCACUCCUCCUAAUGCAUCUGAGGAUACCAUUACCCUUUAUUUGCCACUAGGGCACGUUGCUGGCUCAUGUUCAACUUGAUGUCUACCAAGACCCCAAGGGAAUUCUCUGCAAAUCUGGUGAAGGCAUACUCUUCCCCAUCAUCUAGAUCAAUAAUAAAGAUGUUAAACUGGACUGUACCCAGUGUUGCCCCCUGGGGUGAACAACUACACGUCUAAUUGACUGGCCUCCAACUAGACUUCAUGCCACUCAUCACUACUGUCUGGGCCUGGCCACUACACUGUCUGCUCACCCCUAAUGCCUCAUCAGUUUCUCUAGGAGGAUCUUACUAGAAAUAGUGUCAGAAGCCUUCCUGAAGUCGAGGCAGACAAUAUCCACUGCUCUCUGCUUAUCUACUAAGCCAGUCAUUUCGUCAUAGAAGGUUAUCAGGUUGGUCAAUCACGACCACCCACUGGUGAAUUCCUGCUGACUAUUCCCAAUUGCUUUCUUUCCCUUCACAUGGCUGGAAAUAGUUCUCAAGAUCAGUUCUUCCAAAACCUCAGGGAUCACGGUCAGGUUGACUGGCCGGUAGUUAGUUGUCUGAGUCCUCCUUUCUGUCCUUUUUGAAGAUUGGAGAUACAUUUGCUCUCUUCCAGACUUCAGGCACCUCUCCCAGUCACCACAAUAACAUCACUCAGCUCUCCCAGAGCUCGUAUGCAUUCCAUAAGGGCCCACGGACCCUUGGGUUAGUAUUCUUUAACCCAAGCCUCUUUCACCAAGGGUAGAUCUUCCUUGCUCCAAUCCUUUCCCUGGCCUCCAUAGUACAGAAUUCCUCAAGGCCAGUCUUGCUACUUAAGACCAAGGCAAUGAAGGCAUUUAUACCUUAGCGUUUUUCAUGUCCUGUCUCACGAGGGCCUCUGUGCCAUUUAGUAACUCCACUGACCUCCGUAUCUCCACAGUCUCACAAUGUUUGUGACAAAGAUUGCCCGGUGCUCGGUCUUGGUGUCCAGGUCUAUUGAGAUACAUCCCUAGCAGCACCCACCCCUAGGCAAAAUGUUAACAGUGGUGGCUUUUUGAAGAAAAUGGAAUUAUGAAUUCUACGAUCUUGUAUCAUUUUCUAAACGUCAUCUCAAUGGUAAUUUUUUAGUAGCUUGGCUACCAACAAGUUUACAGAGUCUCCUAGGUAGUUGCAAAGUCAGGAAAAAAACUGGCUUUGUAACACAUAGGAAGUGAAGAAAACAACAACAAAACAAUGCAACUCACAGACAAUAUCCGCAGAAACAAAAACCCAGCCUCCACUUCUCUAUCACCAGAAGUUUUUGCAAGUUUCAUUAAAUUCAUCUGUAAAUGUCCAAAA